rnacentral:lncRNA from 1 species
CCUUCUAAUCAAAGGGAAAAUCGAAGUCGAAAAGUUAGGAGUCAUUCCCAUACCCGACCUGAUGCAUUCCCUUAGGUUCAUUCAUUCUCAUUUAUCACUUACUCAUCCUUUUCAAUUCACAUUUUUCUUUCCUUAUUGUUCAUUUUGAUUUCUACUUCACAAAAUUGCACUUAAUUACACCUAUAUGCACUUAUCACUAUAUUUCAUACACUUGCACACAAACACUUGGAUUUUUCAUACAAUUUCACACAUGCACCUUUUCAUACACUUGCACACAAACACUUGGAUUUUUAUACAAUUUCACACGUGCACCUUUUCGCACACAUGCACACUUGCACUUUAGCCAUCAUUUGCAUUAAUCGACCUCUAUAAGGUUUUCCUUCAUUGGCCGCCACAACUCAUGUGGUUGGGACCAAAAACCUUACAAGAGACAUUUUAGAGUCUAGGAUUGCAUUUUUCUUUCCGUUUUGCAUUCAGUUAUAUCCAACGUGCGAACAUACAUUGGGUAGAAAAAUUAGGAAAAUUGGCUUAAGUCACGCAACUAGCCUUGGCUAGGUCGAAGGGGUGCCUUGGAUUUUUAUCCUUGCCUUCCCCUUCGUCAAAUGUGACCCCCGAUCCCUCUUUUAGUUACGCAGACCCAAAAGUUCUCAAAAAGGGUUUAUUUACUUUUUAUUCAAAAACAAAAACACUUUUUGGGUGACUUGGUACACCCUAACUCUAUACCAAGUGGCGACUCCAUUUUUGAUACAAAAAACCCUUUUGAACUUCACUUGGCCAAAUCGUCGCAUUCUAAGUCCCAUGGCCUUUUACUUUUCAUUCCGCACACGUUCACAUGUAUAUCACACACACUCACACCACCACUCCACA